AGGCUCCCCAAAGUAGGAAGCAGAGAGCUACCAGGUCCCAGGGCAGGAAGUCCCAGGGAUGGGUCAAACAGGGGAGGACAAGCCCAGCUACAGAGACUGUAUCACCUAUUCCUUGACCCUUUGGUUGGAUUUAUCCAGAAGGAAGGACCAGUGUGAAUUGGAACUAGAACCCAGGUGUACUGAAGACAAGGUCAAUACCAGCACCAAACAAGAUGCAUUCUAGAAAGGCUCCUGGUUGAUAAUUUGGACAAAUGGUCAUGGCAAAUGCUCCACGUGGCAACUUGUACUAGGUGCGGCGAUGGUGGGUCUGUGGAUACAGUCCCUGUGCUCGUGAAACUGGCCCUGGUGGGGAGAGAGACAUCUCCAUACAGGGUGAGAAAUGAGACUCACCUAAGAUGCAGAAGGCAGGCUGAAUGUGUUUGUUCCUUCUCUAAAUUCUGAAAGAAAAAACAAAGACGGUGGAAAUCGCUGGUUCAAUUCCUGCUUCUCAGCUUGCCAGAGUUUGAGGCCCAUUUCCCCUUCUGCUUCUCCGUGUUUGUGGGGGUCACAUGAAGACUCUGUGCCCUGCUUCACCCCCUGGAAACCCAGCUUUGGGUCCUUGCAGUUUGAACAGGAUGGUCCUCCGAAAACCCAGCAUAAAAGACAGCUGUAGUUAUGAUUCAGAAGGAAGAGCCCCAGGAUGGAGGACACCAGCCUCCAGAAUUGCACCACAGAUUAAAUGUCUUGGAACAUGACAGAAAGUUCACGUGUGCCUCACACUGAGCAAGAGAGAGGCAGGGGAGGAAGGGCCCCCGAAAGGAAGAGAUCUUUAACAAACCUCCCUGAUUCUCUUAUUUUGCACUAUAAAACAUAAUGGAGAUUUCAUCAACUUGGCAGGAAAUCGCGAGCUAAUAAAAGAGCCUUGUUACAAAGAUAAUAAGAAGACAAAGUCAUAAAAGAGACUUGGCUGAAUUCUGGCUUCAGGCCUCACUCUCUCCGGCUCUGCGGGGACCCAGGCUUCAUCAACUCAGUUAAUCGAGUGGAUGGUCAGGCAUUUGUCCUUUCUUGCUUUUGUUCUUUCUUCACAUUCCAGGGCGCUUCGCCCACAGGGUGUGCUUCGAAAGGCAGACAGGAAGUGCUGCGGUGUGAAGCCUCCCUGUGCCUUCUGUCCCCCUGCUGCUUUAGCUGGGUGCCGUCCCCUGAAGGAGCUGGGCAUCGACCCUCCAGCCGGCUCUUCUUCCCUGGAUUUCCACCUUCCCACUGGCUUCCAGCCAAAAUAUCAGCUGCCUUUCUCCCCUCCUUCCCUGGAAUUUGGGACCCUCCUCCCUGCUCCAGGUGUGGAGUUUCUCCCAGGCCCGGCCCAAACCUUCUGAAUCAGAAUCUACAUGUUCACAGAUUCCCUGGUGAUUCCCGUGCACCUUGAAGCUCCAGUGGGGCCAUCUCAGAGAGCCAGGACGUACACCUUCGCCAUAUCUGCCUUCAAUGCUCUCUCAGUUCUGGAAAAGGACCAUAUGGUGAGGGUGCCUUCAAGCACAGGAGACCUUGCACCUGCAGGCCCAGGCCAAAGAUCAAGCUUUGCUGAACCAGAGUGAAGAAAACAACGACCGUGAAACAUCUUCUUUGCAGGCGCCCAGGCUGCAAUGGGCUGUCCACAAGGUCAUCCUGGAAAGCCAAGGACAGCGCAGACACCUCCUGGCUCCUGCUGUAAUGGACGGAAGCAAUGGUGCAGAUAAUCUAGCCAAAUGGCGGAAGUCCUCCACCAACGGGAGUUUUCAAAGGUACAGACCCACCGGGACUAAGAAAACCAAGCAGGAGACCACAGCGAAAGGAGCUGAGCGAGUCUGGAAAUGUCAGACGCAGGCAGAGAAACCGUAGUUUGUGCAGAAAAGAACAGCCAUAUCCCAGGAGCCACCAGGAAGGUAACCAGGAGAUACCCAGAGCCCAGGGAAACCGAGACCUAGUAUCACAGCAGAGGGGAACUCAAAGCUGGGCUGAAAUGGAAAGUCGCCUAAAAUUCUGUGGGUAGAGUAGUUAAGCCCUCGCACCCCCUCGCCCUGGGGAGACAAGCACCCUUUCUCCACCCUUACACCCCCAGAAAGAAAGCAGAGGCUUAUUCUCCAAAGAAAAAUGAACCUGGGAGUCUCCACAGGUGAGAAGCUGAGGCAAGGAAAUGAAAGUGCCCGCGGCUGCAUGCAGAAGUCAAGCAGGAUGGUCGCAGCUGGGGAAGAGCCCUCGGGUACCGGCCAACGGGCGCUGAGGGCUGAGAGCUGGCCAGAGCUCACAGAGUGGACUCAGCAUAGGGGGCAGCAUCGUGCCCCUUACCAAGAGCAAAGUUUCCUGUGGAAGCUCAGUCCUAUCCUGGGUCAGAAAAAGAGGCAACUAUAAAGGAGGACCUGCGAGCUUCUAGGGAAAUUGGAAUUUGGCCUCUAUAUUGUAAAUACCUUGCUAGGAUAACACUACUGGGGAAAUGCAGGAGAAGGUCUGAGUCCUUAGAAGAGCCACAUGGAUGUGUUUAGGAUGGAAGCCUGAUGAUGACUGCACCUGUCAAAAGUUCAACAAACGGAUUAUGUAAUGCAAAUAUGUGUGAAUAUGUGCAUAGAUAGGUAAAGAGACAAAAUGGCCCUAAGAGAGAAGAGAACGGAGGAAGCCAAUGUACCAAAAUGUUGCAAUAAUGAAUCAAAUGUGUAUUCAGG